GGGUGGUAAGCAUGCUAGGGGCUCCGGCCUACAGCCUGUAGUUUUUCAUUUCACGUUGCUGGGUUUUCUAAGAAUGGUCUUCUUUGUUUCCAUUUUGAGUCAUGGCUGAAUUCUUAUAUGUUGUCUGAUCUUCAAGCUCAAAUACCCAAGGGACCAGGCAGCUGUGAAUCAACCCUGCCAGAUGUUUUAUCCUGCUAUGUUAAGUCAUCUUGACAUGUUGCCAUGAAAUGGAAACAACUGCUCGUUUUAAUAUUGCUCCAUAUCUUUAUUACAAGGUACGUCUCAUGCAUCUUAAUUCCUCGUAUUUUCCCUCACUGUCGUUCUCUGAUCUUCUUCAUCCCAACC
rnacentral:lncRNA from 1 species